ACAAAAAAAAGUUUAUAUAAUUAUGGUGUUAUUAAUGUGUUCAUAUCUUCCAGGUAUACAAGCCUGUAAGGUAAAAGCUUCGAAAGAACAUUAUAUCAAGCUGGUAUUCUAAAGUUAUAUGACUCAUUUGCAUGCUUUGCAAUUGGUCCAGAACGAGGUCUGGAAGCCUCUAGCCACAGCAUACAAAGAGGAACUUAAAACCCCCUUGCUGCCACAUCCCUUCAAAGUUGGAGACACCGUCUGGGUACACAGGCACCAGAGCAAGAACCUCGAAUCGCGGUGGAAAGGACCCUACACCAUUCUGCUGACCACUCCCACUGCAGUCAAAGUGGACGGCAUCACCGCUUGGAUCCACGCCUCCCACGUGAAAGCUGCACAUCCACAGGAGUCCGCAGGCACCUCUCCGGAUCCAGAAUGAAAGUUGCAACGCACUCAAAAUCCACUAAAGAUAAGACUCACACGCUGUUGAUUUUCCUUGCUUUGUGCUUUGUAUUUCCCCUAACGGUUGCUAACCAAACUGUGAGCCAGACAUGGCAAAUAUUAUCGGGGACAGGAGAUAUAAUUUAAAACCAAACAUCCACAAAAUACCCCCUUUGGGCUUGGUAACCUGC